rnacentral:rRNA from 1 species
CAGAGGUGGCAAGCGUUGUUCGGAAUUACUGGGCGUAAAGGGCGCGUAGGUGGUCUUGUCAGUCAGACGUGAAGUCCCCAGGCUUAACCUGGGAACUGCGUCUGAUACUACGAGACUUGAGUUCGGGAGAGGGAUGUGGAAUUCCAGGUGUAGCGGUGAAAUGCGUAGAUAUCUGGAGGAACACCGGUGGCGAAGGCGGCAUCCUGGACCGAAACUGACACUGAUGCGCGAAAGCCAGGGGAGCAAACGGGAUUAGAUACCCCGGUAGUCCUGGCCCUAAACGAUGAGUGCUUGGUGUGGCGGGUAUCGAUCCCUGCCGUACCGAAGCUAACGCAUUAAGCACUCCGCCUGGGGAGUACGGUCGCAAGGCUG